AUGGCAGCAGCACGACACGCACCGGGCCCGCAGGGCCACGCGAGCACGCGGUCCACCACCGCCCAGGCGGCCACCCUCUCCCCGGCUGACCUGGACACCGGCCCUCUCUGCCCUCGCACAGGGGUCCUGGGCCCCCAGUCCAAACCCCGCAAACUCCCUUACCCUCUGCCUCCCAUCCCCCGCACGCUGACAGGUGCGGGGCUGGGAGCUCCGGUCGGAAGGACCCUCUGCGUGUCUGGACAAGGAACCUCAGCCCUUUUAUUCCCUCCGACUCACCACCGGGUUAGGGGGAGGAUUCGAGGAGACAAGCGGGGUCGGGGGCAGCAAAUCAGAGCCCCGUCCCCUCGUCCCCUCGGAGCCCGCAGAAGCUGCCAGCGCCUCCUACAAAGCAGACGGCGCGCUCAUCCACACGGGGCGCUGCGGCCUGGCUUCCCGGAGGACGCGGCGUGCAGAUCCGUGUGUACCCGGUUCCGCCCGUGCAAGCAGGAGUCACACCAGCCGCUCCAACCACAAUCGACGACGCGGGAUGUUCCCGGUGUUCCCUAUCUAUUGCCCCCUUCGGCAGAGCGGGGACCUGCCCCCCACCCCCCCCACCCCGUUACCCUUCAGGGAGGGACCACCUCCCGCAGCCCCCACUGCCCUGCCGGCAGAUGUCCUCCUCUCCUUGCUUGGGUGGCCACAUCAUGCCUGGAUGGAACGCCAGAGCCCUCGCUCAGACCCUGGUCCUCACCCCGCGCAGGCUCCAGCACCCCACUCUGGCCCCGCCCUCCCCGCACCCACCGCCCCUUCCCCAUCCCCUGGCAGCAGCCCACCCCCACCUCCAGGCUGCCUCCCACCUCGCUUGGCCCCGUCUCCGUCUCGCGGCUUCACGCCCACUGUCCGCACGGACCAUCCGAACUUCUGGGCAGUUCCAAACUACCCCGGCCUACCUCCUGCCUCGGAAAACGGCACAAAAGCCCUGGGUCGGUGUGUGUCAGGCCACCACGACAGAGCAUCACAGAUUGA
rnacentral:lncRNA from 1 species